rnacentral:tRNA from 1 species
GCUCCCAUAGCUCAACUGGAUAGAGCAACAGCCUUCUAAGCUGUAGGUUCUAGGUUCAAGUCCUAGUGGGAGUAC